GUCUGGGUGGUGUAGUUGGUUAUCACGCUAAUCUCACUCACUAGAGGUCUCGAGUUCAAACCUGGGCUCAGACA